rnacentral:rRNA from 1 species
GACAGAGGGUGCAAACGUUGUUCGGAAUUACUGGGCGUAAAGCGCGUGUAGGCGGCUCGGCAAGUCGGGUGUGAAAGCCCUGGGCUUAACCUAGGAAGUGCACUCGAAACUGCCAAGCUUGAGUUCUGGAGAGGAAGGCGGAAGUUCUCGGUGUAGAGGUGAAAUUCGUAGAUAUCGAGAGGAACACCGGUGGCGAAGGCGGCAUCCUGGACCGAGAUUGACGCUGAGGCGGCGAAAAGCUAGGGGAGCAACGGG